UACGGAGGGUGCAAGCGUUAUCCGGAUUUACUGGGUUUAAAGGGUGUGUAGGCGGACUAUUAAGUCCGUGGUGAAAUCUCCGGGCUCAACCCGGGAACUGCCAUGGAUACUAUUAGUCUUGAAUGUUGUGGAGGUGGGCGGAACGGGUCAUGUAGCGGUGAAAUGCUUAGAGAUGACCCGGAACACCGAUUGCGAAGGCAGCCCACUACGCAACUAUUGACGCUGAGGCACGAAAGCGUGGGGAUCAAACAGG
rnacentral:rRNA from 1 species